rnacentral:rRNA from 1 species
CCGAGACUCAGUGAAAUUGAAAUCGCUGUGAAGAUGCAGUGUACCCGCGGCAAGACGGAAAGACCCCGUGAACCUUUACUAUAGCUUGACACUGAACAUUGAGCCUUGAUGUGUAGGAUAGGUGGGAGGCUUUGAAGUGUGGACGCCAGUCUGCAUGGAGCCGGCCUUGAAAUACCACCCUUUAAUGUUUGAUGUUCUAACGUUGGCCCCUGAUCGGGGUUGCGGACAGUGUCUGGUGGGUAGUUUGACUGGGGCGGUCUCCUCCUAAAGAGUAACGGAGGAGCACGAAGGUUGGCUAAUCCUGGUCGGACAUCAGGAGGUUAGUGCAAUGGCAUAAGCCAGCUUGACUGCGAGCGUGACGGCGCGAGCAGGUGCGAAAGCAGGUCAUAGUGAUCCGGUGGUUCUGAAUGGAAGGGCCAUCGCUCAACG